UUCAGCGUAUGCCACCCACCUGUCACCGCUCUCACGUUUUGGAAGAGCGCGAUUACCGCUGGUGAGGCGAGCGCUGACGGAGAGGGAUAGGUAAGGGGAGAGACGAGAGGUUUUGGGAUUUGGGGUGGAGGUGGAAGUUCGAGAGAGGACGAGUGAGGGAGAGUGAGAGGGAGGAGUGGUGGGGUCGCGGGGAGGAGGAGGGGGUGUCCGUCCCGGCCGCCGUCGCACUGUAGAGCCGCCGCAUGCCACUGCCGCUGUACCUGCUGCUGAAGCCGCUACGCCCGCUGAAACUGGAGCUGCCUCUGCUGCCACACCCCCUGCUGCUGCUGGAGCUGUUGCUCGUCCUGAUGCUGCAGCUGAUGCUGGCGGAGGAGCGGGGGCAGUUCGGAGCCGGCGUCGAGAGGCCCCAACCGUCGGCUCCGCUCCUUCCCCUCCCCCUGUAGCGGUACCAGCGCCGACUCUCGAAGCACAGGUGACCCCGCAGGCGGAGGCUGUGGCAGCAGCUGAUGUGGCAGCUGCUUCUACUCAAGGUGUUCUAAGCGGACGAAGUGACGCUGAAGAAGUAGGCGUUCCACGGGCUGGGACUGGUUCUGCAGAUGCUGAAGGCUCUCUACAUACAGUGUGGCGGACUGUGGCUGUAGAUGAGGUAAGGUUCCCAAGAACGGGGCUACGGUGUUUUCAUACACUCCACGCGCUUCUUUUUGAAACCGGCGAUGGUACAUUCACUCGGUGGCCAACUCGUAGACGCACUAGGGGACAUGUUCUGUCUCUCCCUCUAAUACUUCCAAAAGAAUUGUUUUGUGAUGUCUUUGUCCGCCAAGUCGCUAUGUCUAAAAAAGGAACUAAAACUCCUCUAAAUACAGUAACUGAGUUUUUGUUCCAGUUAGUGUUCUCGCUUUCAUCACCACUUGCAGGGACUUCCUUUUUUCUCUCUAUCCUCUUUACUGGACGAUGAGUAUGCCCUACCUCCGCUCAGAAAGUCUUAUUGACUGUUCAGCGUUUCUCUGCUGCGGUGGUGAUAGUAGGUCUCUCUUCUCACCUGCUUUAGCUCUGUCCUACACCUCUUCGUAAAGGCCUUCGAGUCUCUAAAACUGAUGAGCUUAACCAAGACUUCUUUGACGGCAGCUCGAAGCAGAUACGUCUCUUCCUACACGUCGCUAAAACAACAAAGAAAUCGACGACGAACACGAUCUCGAUUAAUUGGCACCACCAGUUCACUCUUGACGGUACAGAUAUAUACCAUGAGGGAGAAAAGUGAAUAUAUUCUGCAAAAUCAUUUAAGUCUGUCACAUGAUUUGUCAAGUUUGAGUCGACAGACUUUGCGGAAUAUUUUUCCUUGCCUCCCUCAUGCACAUCGUACCAUCGUUCAUCUUAGUUCUACAUACGUAAACUCGUCAUACAGACAUGCUUUUAAGUCUCAUCGAGACAUGCUUUUAAGUCUCAUCGAUUACCCAUAAAAUACCACCUAACUCC
rnacentral:rRNA from 1 species